AUGAAGGAUGCAUUCAAGAACCUCUACAAUCACUCCGUCAACCUCGCCGUCGUCGGUGGUGUUGGGUUCGGCACUGCCUUUCUCAGAUCCAUCGCCUCCUUCGCCGCCAUGUAUGUCAAAUUGUCAAUCUAAUUAGAAUUUAUAUAUAUAUACUCUUCUCAGAUCUUUAUUCUCUUUAACUCAAUCGGAUAAUCUUUCGUGUAGAUACCUUCUGAUUUUGGACCGGACGAACUGGAGGACCAACAUGCUCACUGGACUUCUGAUCCCGUAUAUCUUCCUAAGUCUGCCGGAGAUAAUUUUCUCGUUCCUCAGAGGAGAGGUCGGGAUGUGGAUCGC
rnacentral:lncRNA from 1 species